rnacentral:lncRNA from 1 species
GAAAAUAAAAGAUGACGGUAAGCCUUUAAACUAAAUAAAAAAAAAAUGCAUUGUGUAAUUCAAGUUGAGGUGACCAUGCUUCUUCAAUCUUCAAUUGAAAAGAAAAAUUUCCAAUCAUUCAUUCACUCAUACGGUACUUUUGCAUCCAAUAAAAAAUAUAAAAGCCAUCAUUCCAUGCCUAAGCAAAACGUUCCAGCACCCACUUUUUACUCAAAUGUCGUGAUCGAGCUGC